AAUCUAGUGUACCGUUAGGAUCCAAACCUAUUUGAAUCUCUAGGUUAUAAUUUAAGAUUUGUUUGAGCAUGACUUUAACAUAAAGACAGAUGUAAAAUUAUAUUUAUGUUCUAAUUUAUUUUGAGAGCAAUAUUAUUUAUUAUCUAUUUUGUGUAGCUAAUAAUAGUUGGUUAUGUAGUAAUUAAAACAUAAUUUACUAUGUUUGACCCAGACCCGAU
rnacentral:lncRNA from 1 species